AGAUUGAACGCUGGCGGCAUGCCUUACACAUGCAAGUCGAACGGCAGCACGGGAGCAAUCCUGGUGGCGAGUGGCGAACGGGUGAGUAAUACAUCGGAACGUGCCCAAUCGUGGGGGAUAACGCAGCGAAAGCUGUGCUAAUACCGCAUAAGAUCUACGGAUGAAAGCAGGGGAUCGCAAGACCUUGCGCGAAUGGAGCGGCCGAUGGCAGAUUAGGUAGUUGGUGAGGUAAAGGCUCACCAAGCCUUCGA
rnacentral:rRNA from 1 species